rnacentral:misc_RNA from 1 species
GCCCAUCCGCGCUCGUGCGCCUAGCCCCGUCCCUUGCGGCGGGCUCCGGCCCGAUGCGGACAUUGGCCCUCCG